GAAGUAACAUAGACACCAAGCAGGCAUCCCAGACCUCAUCACCAGAAGUCGGAAGUCAAGGAGAAAAUCGGGAGGCACCCACAGCAGCCAAGCUGUGAACAGUGGGCCCCACUUCCUGAUGUCUCUGCCAUCACACCAUAAAGCUGUCAAUUAG